rnacentral:rRNA from 1 species
AACGAACGCUGGCGGCAUGCCUAACACAUGCAAGUCGAACGAGAACUUCGGGUCUAGUGGCGCACGGGUGCGUAACGCGUGGGAACCUGCCCUUAGGUUCGGAAUAACUCCCCGAAAGGGGUGCUAAUACCGGAUAAUGUCUUCGGACCAAAGAUUUAUCGCCUUUGGAUGGGCCGGCGUUGGAUUAGCUAGUUGGUAGGGUAAAAGCCUACUAAGGCGACGAUUCAUAGCUGGUCUGAGAGGAUGAUCAGCCACACUGGGACUGAGACACGGCCCAGACUCCUACGGGAGGCAGCAGUGGGGAAUAUUGGACAAUGGGCUAAGGCCUGAUCCAGCAAUGCCGCGUGAGUGAUGAAGGCCUUAGGGUUGUAAAGCUCUUUUACCCGGGAUGAUAAUGACAGUACCGGGAGAAUAAGCUCCGGCUAACUCCGUG